UGGAAACUGACAGCCACUCUUCCC
rnacentral:piRNA from 1 species